rnacentral:rRNA from 1 species
CACGUAGGGUGCGAGCGUUGUCCGGAAUUAUUGGGCGUAAAGGGCUCGUAGGCGGUUUGUCGCGUCGGGAGUGAAAACCCAGGGCUUAACUCUGGGCUUGCUUUCGAUACGGGCAGACUAGAGGUAUGCAGGGGAGAACGGAAUUCCGUGGUGUAGCGGUGAAAUGCGCAGAAUAUCAGGAGGAACACCGGUGGCGAAGGCGGUUCUCGUGGG